UACGGAGGGUGCAAGCGUUAAUCGGAAUUACUGGGCGUAAAGCGCGCGUAGGCGGUUCUGUAAGUCGGAUGUGAAAGCCCCGGGCUCAACCUGGGAAUUGCACUCGAUACUGCAGGGCUAGAGUUUGGUAGAGGGAAGUGGAAUUCCGGGUGUAGCGGUGAAAUGCGUAGAUAUCCGGAGGAACACCAGUGGCGAAGGCGACUUCCUGGACCAAAACUGACGCUGAGGUGCGAAAGCGUGGGGAGCAAACAGG
rnacentral:ncRNA from 2 species